rnacentral:lncRNA from 1 species
UCCAGGUCCCAGGAAGGAGUGCUUUGUGCAAUAGAGAGUCACCAGGGCCAGAGACAGCUUUCAGACAGCAUGGGCUCUGGCAGCUGCUCUGGUUGCUGCCCUAGUUGCUGGUCGUUUCCUGAAGGAAGUAACUUGCUGUCUCUUCUCUGCAAAGAGGAAAGAAAUGGGACUUUCCAAUGCAACUCAAUCCCAGUCCCUUCAACUCCCUACUGGGAGUCCCACUGGUCAAAGCCACCCAGGAGCCAUGAUGAAGCUAUUGCUGUGCUGGUCUGUUCAGAUCAGUGUGCAGGGCAGAGAGGGGAGGUGGCUCUGCAGGGCCACUCUGAUGAGAACAGAAGGCUCGAGUAACUUUGCUGAUCUGUGUCCUGGACCCCAGCUUCAUACAGCAGACCAAGCGGGCAAGAGCCAGGCCUCAAGGCCUGAUUAGCCCCAGACAUUAGUGCAUUUUCCAGUACCUUAUCAGCCUCCGCUGACCUCUUCUGGAGCCAGAAAAAGUAUCCACUGAGCAAGAAAAAGGUGAGAGACAGGUCAGUCAAAGAAUGGGUGUUUCCUUAGGGACACUGAAGCUGAGAGAAGUCACUCACCCAAUGCCAGCAACAGCCAGGAACAUCAAGAUGGUGAAAAGGACUACAACCCACUUGUAGCUCCAUGUGACCCUGGCUGGGGUGGAAAAGGGGAAAGCAUGUGUCGGGAGACUCAAGGGGGACACUUGAGAUUGCAAAAGGUGUGUCCUGCGCAGAUGUGUCCUUGAACAAAAUGCUUACCGAAUCUGGAGCUGCUAAGGUUGUAGGAAGCAGCAAGGGAAAGCUGCUGCCGUCGAGAGACCUGAGAGAUGCCUGGGAUUAGUCAGCCAAGUGCUUUCCUUGAAAAAGGAGGACCCGAGUUCCAUCCCUGGUGGGAUGCACCUGUGAUCCCAGAGCCUGGGAGGAUCCCAGGCUGAUUCCUGAAUCUCAGUGGCCAGCUGGCCUAAUAUAUUUGGUGAAUUUUAGGCCAAUGAGAGAAGACUUCAAAAAUAAGAUGGAGCACAAGGGAGGUAAUUCCCAGGCAAAAUGCUUGUCAUGCAAGCCCAAUGGCGGAGCUGGGGCAUCUUGUACCCAGGUAAAAGAUGCAAUAAUCUCUUCUCUCUCUCUCUCUCUCUCUCUCUCUCUCUCUCUCUCUCUCUCUCUCUCUCUCCUCCUCUUCCUCCUCCUCCUCUUCCCCCUCCCCUCCCAGUCUCUCUCUUUCAUGUAUGAGUGUCUGUCUGUCUCUCUUCCUAUCUCUAUUUCUGUCUACACCCACCCACACACACACACACAGAGGAGAGAGAGGGAGAGAGGGAGAGAGAGGGAGAGGGAGAGAGAGAGAGAGAGAGGGAGAGGGAGAGAGGGGUGACUGGGGAAGGGAGAAUGAAGUUCAGCAAUCCAUUCAACCAGGUUUAGCUGAGGUUCGAGGAGGAAGGCUCUUGGAUUAGGGUGUGAGGGUCUAAGUGAGACUAGUUGCUAAGAAGGACACUGAAGGUGUAGCCUGUUGAAUUUAAUAUUAAUAAAACUCAGUGGCAGGGUUGCUACCUGCCUCAAUGGUUUACGUUCCCCAACGAAAGACACACUCACAGCCUUUAUAUUUUAAUAUGUCUUAAACAGUACAAUAGCUGGGCCACUGCCUAACCUCCAUGCUGUUAAUCCUGAGUUAUUACUUACUAAUUCUAUGUUCCAUCUUGGCUGCUCUUAACUCCAGUUAGACAGCCAUCUGGUACACGUUUUCUUGGUCCAGAGGCUGGGGCACUUUCCUUGUCUUUCUACCCCAUAGUGGACUCUCUCUCUCCUCUGUCCACACUCUUAAGCAUGGUGGGUCUUUCUCCUCCACACUGUCCCUGUGUGAAGAUCUCUCUCCCUCCACUUCUGGUGCCAAGCCCAGGAAUCCUAAAAUCCUGCCUGUCUGUCCUCCCCAGCUAUUGGCUGUUGACAUCUUUAUUUAUCAAUCAUAACCAAUUGGGGGCAGGCUCCCAGAAACUAGUGCAGAUACUCCCUGCAAGCAGGUUUUUUGGGGGAACAUAAUUAGCAUUCGCAAAACAAGCAGCUACAGUAGUCAAGACUAGAGAUGGGAUGAGAGUGUUUCAGACAUGCUGAAUCUAAGGACCCAGAAGCAAGUGGCUCGCAGACUUUGAAGCCAGACACAAGGACAUCAAGAAACCUCAAAGAUUCUGCUGUCCUCCACCCAGCAGGAAAAAUCCAGAAACAUUCUAGUCUGGAUAGAAAAGAAUGAUGGACAGAGAUGGCAACUCCAGGGGUGGAGGGUUUGGGAAAGGGAGGGUGAAUGGAUCAAGGUUCGGUGAGUACAGUGGAGGCUACUGACCUGUGCACAAGGUAGAGUCAUUGCAGGACAGGUAGAACUUCCGGCAGUCAGCACAUGCAGUGACUUCCAUUUCGGAGAGGAUGUCUGUCAGAGCAAUGGGCAGGAGCCUCAGACAUGGCAGGGUCUCCUGUCCUUCCCUCCAGCUCAGCCUAGGGCAUACUCACCACAGGACUCAUUGCAGACUGCCUGGGAAAGUGAGAUGGUGGAGAAACUGAGGCACUAGAGAGGCAGACACAGAUGGGAGCGGUGGUAGGACAUGGGACUAGGGACUCAUGGAAGGAACCUAUUCUUUGGGUAGACCAGAGUUCCUGGGGAGACCUUAGGAGGGAUUGCCCAUUGGGGUCUAUAGGCCACAGUGGCAAAGGUAAUGGGUGGAGUGGAGACCAGGGACAGCCCCGUUUCCUACCCUUCUGCAUCAGGUCCUGGGACUUCUCCUUCAGCCUCUCGUCCAGGAGACUCUUCUGAACCCGAAUCUCAUUAAGCAGUGCUGGCUUAUCUGUGUGCAGCAGAAGGGAGUGAGACUCACUGAUAUAAAGUUCGUCUUUUCUUGCGUGUGUGUACAUGUGCACAUAUGUGUACAGGUGAGCAUGCAUGUAGAUGCAUGUGAGUCUGGAACCUGGAGGCCAACCUCGGGUUCUGUUCUUCAAGGAUCACCCACCUUAUUUUUGACACAGCGUCUUUUAUUGGCCUGUAACUCUGUUCUGCCUUGGCAGCAAGCCACAGAGACCCUCCUGCCUCUGCUUCCUCAGCACUGGGAUGCCAGGCACAAUCACCAUGCUUUUUGUUUGUUUGUUUGUUUUUAAUGUGGGUUCUGGGGAUUGAACUCAGGUCUGUCUUCAUGCUUAAAGGGGAAAAUCUUUUAAUGACUGAGUCUUCUCUACAGUUUUUCUUAACUUAAAAACGUGUGUGUGUGUGUGUGUGUGUGUGUGUGUGAGAGAGAGAGAGAGAGAGAGAGAGAGAGAGAGAGCAGGGGUAGUCUAUGAGUAUGUGUCUGUCUCUGUGUUCCUCUAUUUGAAUGCAGGUGUGUAUAUGUCACAGCAUACAUAUGGGUAUCAGAGGAAGACCCGGGCCGACAGUCCUCACCUCCCAUUUUAGUUCUUGAGGCAGGGUUUCUUUUGUUGCUUGUGGAUGUGUAUAUAUGCAGCUAGCUGACCCAGGAGCUUCUAGGAAAUUCUAUCUCCACCUCCCAUCACCCUUUAGGAGCUCUGGGAUUACAGACAUAUGCUACUAUGCCCAGCUUUACCUGGGUGGGCUGUGGAAUCUGAAUUCAGAUAUUCACACUCGUACAGUUAAGUGGUUUUUCUACUGAACCAUCUUUCCAGUCUCCUCCCGCCCCCAGACUUGAUCUCAUGUACCCCAGACUGAUCACUAUGUAGCUGAGGAUGGUCUAGAACUUAUGAUCCUCUUGCUUUCACUUUUUAAGUGCUAAAAUUACAGGGCUGUACCACCAUAGGGUGUAUUUUGGCACAGUAACAUAAGAAGCUUCCCUGUCCACCAUCAAAGUGACCUCCGGGGAAUGCUGUGUAGAAUGGGUCUUGGUAAUCCAACUCAACCCCUGGACAAUUGUCUUCCUUACCAUCCCUCAGCUUUUUAAUGGCGUUGUCUACUUGGGUGAAAAAUGUAGCUGUUUCCUCAUCCAAAUUGUCUCGAGCUGAGGAUGGGACAGGGGACAGAGGGAUGUUGGGGACGGGAUCAGGUCAGGUAAAAGGGUGCUCCCAUCCCUGCCCAGCUGUGCCUCACCAAGAUACCAGGGCAAGAAUAUGGUGUUAUUCUCCAGGAAAAAGGAGUGUAGGCUUUGUGAGAGUUCUGUAGGUGGCCCUGGACUGCCCCAGAGCACCUGCAGGUCAUAGUCCAUCAUGGCGAGCAGCUCUGGCCAGCAGCGGAGGCAGCUCUUCCCAGUGGUUCCUGCCAGCAGGCAGAUCAGCAAGACUAGAUGCAUCUUUCCGAGUCCUUUCCAAGUACUCACAGUCUCAAUCGGAAUGCUGUUGCCCUGGAAACAGCAUUCUCCGGACAGAACAAAGGUAAAUUCCGUGGGACACAGCAAGGGUGGCUGGAGUGAAACCAGGCUUAGGCACCACAGCCAACAUGGAGGGAGAAAAGAGACUGGAGAAAGUGACGUCAACAGCAAUGUAAGAAGUCAACUGGCACUGAGAGGUCUGAGGGCCAUAGGGGCUGGGGGAUGGGACACUGGGAUGCAUUGUCUAUUUGGGUAAAAACUUUAUUAAAAGAGUUAAUGCCCCCCAUUCCUUCUAUCCUUCCCACCCCUUCUGCCU